UGCCCUCCAUCCGUGUGUCCCGUGAGUGUCCUUCGGCGUGUCUCUGUGUGGGUGGCAUCGGAUAGCGUGGGGUCAACAUUUCAGGAGCGGGAAGGUCACCAAUUAAUGCUGCAGAAUAAUAGAAAGGUCGCCAAUUAAUACUGGUGCAUCGGUAUUCUUUCUAAAGAUUUUAUUGAAAAUAUUUGAGUUUGCUUUGAGAUCAAGUAAUACUUCAUAGAGCUGCUUGUGAGCAAGUAGUAUUUUAAAGAGCAGCUUGUAUUUAUAAAUCUUUGCGAAACUUGAAUUAAACAUUACUCAUACGACCUGCAAGCCAAUUAUAAUCCUCUCUUUGAAUUCACAACCCCUUCUUGUGAUGUAAAACCCACAUUAUUUUUGUGACAAAAAAUAUUUACGAUGGCUUCGAUGCGAAUUGAAUUUAUUGAUGAGGCUGCGUGCAAAACACUUUCGCUUUUUUUCAGUUGGCAUUCGUUAAGAAUGCUUGGAUAAAUGCCGUCUUGUGGCUUGUCUGCACAUCCACCAGAUGGCUCAAUAAGUGCCAAAGCCAGGUCACAAGUAUGACGAGUUUGGCCUUUGGCAACUUGGUUAAGAGUGAAUACUUUAACGAAACCUCAAUCAAUUCGAGUGCCUCUUUUUAUGCGCCGAGCCUCAAAACCCUCGAAAGUUGCUCAAUCUCAAUUGAGGCUUGGCGAGUGCGAACUCAAUAAACGGCCAAAUGUAUCGCAGAUGUCUUAAGCUCUGGGCUAUGAUGUACAUUUAAUGAGUUUCCAACCGAGAAAGUAGUAAAUGGAUGCAUCAUCUUCAUACGUAAAGUUUACUUUUUUUAGGGCCGUAAACAACUUGGCUUAUAGCUGUACAAACAAAACGCUGUAAAAACUAUUAGCACCUAUCACGAGACUGUAAUUAAAAUCGCAGAAAACAUCUUGCAUGAUUUAUUACACAAAGUACUUAGCAAGACGACUUUAAUAGUUUAACUUUUUUAAGCAACUACCUCAGCUGUAUUUAGGUUUACCUUCUAAUUUUCGUGUCAUAGAAAAUUAAGAGUGACUUGCAACGAAAAAAUAUCCAAAAGAUAAAUGCGACACACGAUUUUCAGUGCAUAAAGAUUCCAAUUAUAUCAAUUAUCACCGUUCAAGAUAGUUAUUUUGCAGCUGGUACAUGACACAUUGCACGCUUUCGGAAUUUGACACAAAAAACGUCAUUUUACGAAUUUAGCAUUCCUUAUAGAAAUAUAUAUUCAUAGGCAUUCUUUGCGAGCACUUCACACUAGUUUUGUUGCCUUUUCCCCCAAUUCACAAUCGUGCGAAUAAUUUAUGGAAAUGAGGGACUCUCCAUGAAAGCAUACCCAUUGUUUUGCAUAUUUUAAAACUAUGGCUAUGACUACCUAAUUGCCAUAAUUAGAUGCUCCGCGCUCAACUGCCCAAUGACGCAAUGUCGCUGGGGUUCAAUGAACCAGAAUUGGUCACGCAAAAAAAUCAUAGAUACCUACUCAGGUACUAGCAAUUUGAGUGUGAGAAUGGCAGUUAGGCAAAAAAACUGAAUGAGUGCUGUUCAAGUUAGCCAUGGUUAUGCUCUGACUAAUGAGGCCACUUUCCUUUCGAUUCAUUUGGCAUGCCCGACAUUUCCUUAUAAAUUCAGCCAACUGUCGGCGGGCAAAGGAAAUUCUUAUUUAUGGCCCGAAAUUACUCUUCGCAUUAUGCAAAACACCGCGAUAAGGCAUUAGAGGGGCCAAUGAACCGCAAACGAACUAAAUCAUUCAUAUCUCGGCCGAGUGGUACUGCCAAAAAAUCGAGCAUGCUGAUGUUGUAAUAUGGAAGGAAACCGGUUGACAGACCGAGUAGCUUUGUACUUGGCCCCGCACAGUUCCCAGUUCCCAGAUAUACAAACCGUCUUGGCCCAAAAGUAGCACACAAACAGAAGUGAGUCGGCGGCAAUCUUGUCGCCCCAGUCUCGCACUUACGUAACCGUCUUGAGUUCCAGCUCUAAGAAAAUUCAAAAAAAAUAAAUGAAAAACGUAUUAAGAAAAUGAAACUGAAAAUCAUGCGAACUGCAGCCAGUUGAACCCGGUUAAAAAACCAAUGAAACGCUUGACUUGCCGUCAAUGUAAAUUAAAAAGGCCUGCUAAAAAACGAAAGUGUGUCGACGUAGUCGCAAUCGAGUGUGCAACUUAAAAGUGCGUGUCUUGACUUACGCAUGCGAUUCCAGUUACCAGUACAAUAAAUACGACAAAACUCAUAAAUAUAACAAAACCAGUUUUUCAACAGAAGCUGCUGCUGCAUGCGUGUUAAAUGCAGUCGAUUGUUUGAGUACAGGAAGCUGGGUCAGUGGGUUAACAAAAUAGAAAUGGAACAAUAAAGUGACAGUUUUUGUUUCUUUAAAAUGCAGGGAAACUAAUAAAUUGAGUUGGUAAAUGAAACUUCAUUUUAGGUGUGUCAGGAAUGUACUACAGAAACUGCUUAACUAAUGCAUAAACUUUAAAUUGAGAAUCAAAACUUAAUCAAUCGAUUUCCGUUGAUCAAAAUCUAAGAAUAAAUCAGAUACCCUAUUUCGUAAGCGAUCGGAUUAUUAUAAGCAUCCGGUUGAUAAUGAUGCUAAGCUCUGGGAAGCGAAAUGGUUACCAGUCAUUUUUCAUUCAUUAUGGAGAAUGCUUCCACCAUAAGAGUAAAGUAAACACUUAUUGAAAGCGUCAUGGGAUUUGGGCAGAUGGAAUAAGUGAUUAAAACUCCAUCGUUAUAUGCCACUUAACUAUCACACGUUUAUGCACAAGAUCCGGUUCCAAGUAAUGAUUAUCAGUGUCAAAUGUUUUCGAAUUGAUUUAAAAAUAGAAGAUUAUUGCAUUGUACUACUUCCAAGUAAUGAUUAUCAGUGUCAAAUGUUUUGAAUUGCUUUAAAAAUAGAAGAUAAUGGUUGAAACCCUAGAUGGGCAUCUAUGCGAAUUCGACAUUGAAUGAAGGCGAUUCAAAGGUGAUUCGCUCCAAUUUCGAUGGGUAUCUUUAUGUCGCCACAUAUGGGAAACGGGGCGGCCAAUUAAACGUCGUUGGUCUGCACUUUUGUUUGGUCAUUUUGGUAACUUUUCGCUGGCCCAUUGAAGUUGGCCGCUUGGCAGUUGGAGCGGCGGUGGUGGUGCGGUUCAUUGAAUUUCAAUUGUCCACGGUGGGUGGUGCAGUGGUGCAAUUGGACAAUGCGGACCAUGCGGACAACCGCAAACAGCGACAGAGCAAUGCCAUAACAGCGAAAAUAUCAAACUGAUUUGGUUGUGCAAUGCUGUGCUUACAUCACUCCACUUCCUUUCCACUUCUCCACUUGCAGUGGAUCAUGCACGUGGGUUGGGUUUGCGGAAUUAGGAUUAAAAUUCAGCACAGAGUUGGCUAAAGUAUGCCCCUGUAUAUUAGGACUUAGUUUCAAUUACGGGCUUCCAUUGCCUGUUGAUUAGGCGCCUUUGAUGGGUUGUUCCUGGAAGAUUUAGUUGUUAAAAUCUAAUUAAAAUUUAAAUAACCCCUGGUUGCUGCGAAAACAUGUGGAAUUGCUGACCAGUUUAUGUUUACUAAAUUUCGUUUUGUGCGCAACUGGAAAAGUGCAGUUUUCGACAAGCUUAUCGCUUGUUUGCAGUCCGCAGACGAGCACUGAUUUUUAUUUCUUUUUUUUUUGUUUGGGGUCCUGCUGCCAUGCCAACGUAAUCUACUUCAGACCAUAUCAAAGCCCCGCCAUAAUUCCGCAUCCCCGCAUUUGUGCCCCCACAUCCCAUCAUACAUCGCAUCAUGCCGUAUCAUAUCGCAUAUCCCGUAUACGCCGGGGGUGCUGGCAAUUCACGUGUGUGGAGCAGCUCUAAUGCCGGGCAGAUUGUCGAGCAAUUUGCGGCGAUUAAAUUAGCUCAAGCGUGCCCCUAAAGAAGCGAUUCCCAUCCUGCCUCCUGUUGCUGCACUUGUAGUUGUUGUUCUCGUUGUUGUUGUUGCUGCCGGCGAAGGACUAAGGUAUUAAGUGGAGUUUUCAGCUCUGGGUGAUCUGUGUAUCUGUGUGGUUCCCAUGUGAAAUCACCACCAUGGCCGCAGCGAGCAGACGAAGCGAGAUGGAACGAUGUCCUUGCGGGUGUAAAGCUGCCACGCCCACCGCCUUGAAUCGCCUCAUCCACCCACUGCGUUGCUGCCGCGCCAAAUGUUCUAAUCUCCGCGCCGGAUUUACACAUUGCUACCCAGGCAGCCACAUUGAAACUUUGUGUACAUAUUUGAGUUUCAUUUCGUUUGUGGCUAACAUGAAGUCAUAAAAUUGAAAUAAAUAUAAAUGCGAGUUGCGCUGAUUUCCAGCUGAGCGGACACGCCCCCUUCUAAGACGGUGGGCGGCGCCCACGCAGCAGGGAGCUCACAAAUCUCCCAGGAGUGUUGGCUUCACCCAAACGCAGAUAGCGCACCACAGGACUCCGGACUUAAAGUGCUUAAAUUACAAAUUACGGGCAUGGAAGUCCGGUCAUACCCAAAAUCUUUGAAUUCAGGUAUUAGAGAGUAAGUAAGCAUUGUUGCAUACUUCUUUGGUGCAGCAACCCCGAAACGCUGCCUGAAAUUCCCAAGUAGUUCUGGCAGAUCCCUCAAGGAGAUCCCAGAGUUGAGCGGCGAAAAGCAUACUUACCUGGCGUAGAGGUUAACCGUGAUCACGAAGGCGGUUCCUCCGGAGUGAGGCUUGGCCAUUGCACCUCGGCUGAGUUGACCUCUGCGAUUAUUCCUAAUGUGAAUAACUCGUGCGUGUAAUUUUUGGUAGCCGGGAAUGGCGUUCGCGCCGUCCCGACAUUUAAAAUAAAUCAAAAAAAAAAUAAACUUCAUUGAUUUGCUUUAUUAGAUUGAUGAAGAAGUUGGUGCGAAAGUUAAUUUAAACAAAUGUCUACCACUAACAGCUAGUUGACGCUCUUCCCAAUCAUCGAUCAUUGGGAAGAUGAGUCCUAUUUCAUUCAUCCCAUUAACUGACUUGGGUUUUUGUGCUCCGCCUACUCCUCCUAAUCCUCCUCCUUGGGCAGCCGUAACCGGUCCAGCCUCCUUUUUCGCGCUUCCUUAUUUAUUUAUCAUCAUUUAUUAAACGCUCGCUCGCUCGCCGCCUGCCAAGUUUCCGAUGCCAAGAAAGGAGUCCGUCGUCGGUCCGAGUUCGGCAGCAAAAAAAAUUGUCGCUGUCAGAUUACGUUGCAAUAUUGCUUCCAGUUGCCAUAUCCUGCCGACUUUCCGCCCAAAUUCACGCUGCGAAGGACGAGAGAAACGUGAAAUCGAAGGGUCGGGGGCGUCGUCCCUUUCCCAUUCUUUUUUCUCGGCUUUGACACAAGCAACAAUUUACUCGGUUUCAGGUUAAAGUCAUAUCGUUAGCAUUAACGCUUUUUGAUUUUUAUUGAGUCAGCUAAAUUUUAUUCGAUUUACCAUCCACACACAUACAUACAUAUACACACACAAGCACACACACACAUACACACCCUCGCAGUGGGAAAGACAAAUACAGAUGUACCAACAGCAGCAUCCCCCAUCAGAAGAGCAGGGCACAACAUUCCUGGGGAGGAAUAUUUCCGAGCUUUAAUGAGGUUGGCCCACCAACCAAUGAGUCCUUCGCCGGGUGGAAGGACGACCUGCCUUCCGCCCUUCCAUCGUCCUUCCAUCCUUAACUUUUCCCGCCCAGGAAGAGUCUAUUUCGGAAGUAAAUGAAAAUUUGAUUUGGAAUUUCGUGUGUCCUGGUCGUGCGUGCGUUACAGCAUCCUCAUUCCAGAAUCCAAGCCCAAUGAACCCAAACCGAAACCGAAACUGAACCACCGAGCGAGGAUGAUGAUGUUGAUGACGACGUCAAAGUCGAAGAUGGGCAUGUGAUAAAAUAAAUUACGGGCAGAUUAGUGCGAAUUUAAUUAUCGUUUGUUCCUUUGAUGUCGCCAAGUAAAUAAAGGGAAUAAAUAUGAUGAUGACUCCCAACGGCAGUUCUAAUAACAUUAUUUCCGUAUCCAGUUAAUUGCGGAAAAUGUGCGAGGCUGUGUUUUAAAAAUUCCUACCUGCUGCGAAUUUCUGUAUUUCUGGAUUUUCCAACCCCUAGGCAGAGCCUACUUUCUCCUUGCACUGCAUGCAGUGCCUGUAAUUCCCAAGUAGUUCUGACAGUUCCCUCAAGGAGAUCCCAGAGUUGAGCAGCAGAAAGCAUACUUACCUGGCGUAGAGGUUAACCGUGAUCACGAAGGCGGUUCCUCCGGAGUGAGGCUUGGCCAUUGCACCUCGGCUGAGUUGACCUCUGCGAUUAUUCCUAAUGUGAAUAACUCGUGCGUGUAAUUUUUGGUAGCCGGGAAUGGCGUUCGCGCCGUCCCGACAU